rnacentral:sRNA from 1 species
UUAACACAAUCACGCAAGGUGCUAGCCAA